rnacentral:rRNA from 1 species
ACGCACGCUGGCGGCAUGCCUAACACCUGCCAGUCGCACGAGACCUUCGGGUCUAGUGGCGCCCGGGUGCGUAACGCGUGGGAACCUGCCCUUAGGUUCGGAAUAACUCCCCGAAAGGGGUGCUAAUACCGGAUAAUGUCUUCGGACCAAAGAUUUAUCGCCUUUGGAUGGGCCCGCGUUGGAUUAGCUAGUUGGUAGGGUAAAAGCCUACCAAGGCGACGAUCCAUAGCUGGUCUGAGAGGAUGAUCAGCCACACUGGGACUGAGACACGGCCCAGACUCCUACGGGAGGCAGCAGUGGGGAAUAUUGGACAAUGGGCGAAAGCCUGAUCCAGCAAUGCCGCGUGAGUGAUGAAGGCCUUAGGGUUGUAAAGCUCUUUUACCCGGGAUGAUAAUGACAGUACCGGGAGAAUAAGCUCCGGCUAACUCCGUG